rnacentral:rRNA from 1 species
UACAGAGGGGGCAAGCGUUGUUCGGAAUUACUGGGCGUAAAGGGCUCGUAGGCGGCCAACUAAGUCAGACGUGAAAUCCCCCGGCUUAACCAGGGAACUGCGUCUGAUACUGGAUGGCUUGAGUUUGGGAGAGGGAUGCGGAAUUCUAGGUGUAGCGGUGAAAUGCGUAGAUAUCUGGAGGAACACCGGUGGCGAAGGCGACAUCCUGGACCAACACUGACGCUGAGUGAGCGAAAGCCAGGGGAGCAAACGGG